GACGAACGCUGGCGGCGUGCCUAAUACAUGCAAGUUGAGCGAUGAAGCUUGGUGCUUGCACCAAUUUGAAGAGCAGCGAACGGGUGAGUAACGCGUGGGGAAUCUGCCUUUGAGCGGGGGACAACAUUUGGAAACGAAUGCUAAUACCGCAUAACAACUUUAAACAUAAGUUUUAAGUUUGAAAGAUGCAAUUGCAUCACUCAAAGAUGAUCCCGCGUUGUAUUAGCUAGUUGGUGAGGUAAAGGCUCACCAAGGCGAUGAUACAUAGCCGACCUGAGAGGGUGAACGGCCACAUUGGGACUGAGACACGGCCCAAACUCCUACGGGAGGCAGCAGUAGGGAAUCUUCGGCAAUGGACGAAAGUCUGACCGAGCAACGCCGCGUGAGUGAAGAAGGUUUUCGGAUCGUAAAACUCUGUUGGUAGAGAAGAACGUUGGUGAGAGUGGAAAGCUCAUCAAGUGACGGUAACUACCCAGAAAGGGACGGCUAACUACGUG
rnacentral:rRNA from 1 species